rnacentral:rRNA from 1 species
CUGAGUGCUGUACUCAGUUUCGAAUUUUAGUUCAGCCUUAAAAAACCCCGGCACCACCAAGCAACCCUGUUUUUUAAGAGUAAUUCUAUAGAGGUACAGCUCUAUAGAAGAAGGACACAACCUACACCUUUGGGUAAUGAUCACAUCAACUAAAGAUCGAGAAAAAGUUGGCUUAAAAGCAGCCAUCUUAAAAGAAAGCGUCACAGCUCCCCCUCAAUCGACCUUUUAAUUAGGACAGAAAAUCAAAACCCAUCUAAACUAUUGAGUAUUCCUAUACACUUAUAGGAGAAUUAAUGCUAGAACUAGUAACUCAGAAUUAAACAUUCUCUUUAUGUGAGUGUAAAUCAGAUUGAAUAAAUCACUGAUAUUUAACAGCCUUACAGAAAGAAAUGUAAUAACUUAUCAAGAAAAAUUUACAUUACAAACUGUUAACCUUACACAAGAACAUACCAAGAAAGAUUUAAAGAUAUAGAAGGAACUCGGCAAAUCUAGGUCCCGCCUGU